UUGGUUCAUCUUUCUUUGCUCCUUUCUUUGCUUCUUUCUUUGUUCUUAUCGGCAGCACCUCUCUCUCACUCUAUCACCAACAACCCUCCCUCUCUUUCACCGAAACCAUAUAUCUCACUUUAAAGAAGAAAUUAAAAUGCUAACACUAAAGUUUCAACUUCAAAGUUUGUGGGUGACGAGAACAAGAAUGUGGACACUUGAGCUCCUCUUAUACAAGUCUUUCACAUCUUCUGUUUUCAGGGCUUCGCAGCUCACCCUAUUACAUUUCAGUGCACAGAUUCUUUCUUGGAAGCAGUGAGAGUAUUAGAGGUGGUAAGGAAUCUGUGAUUCUCGGUUGUUAGAAUGUAUAGUCUUUUUGUUGUAUAGUAGCUUAGCUCUUUUGUUGUAUAGGAGGAAUCAAGAUACACUUGAUCCUUUUGAGCACUGAUGUAAUUCAGAACCUUAAUUUGUUUCGAACCCCAGUUUUAUGUCUUGGGGUUAGGUUUGUAAAAAUAGUUUUGCUAAACAUUUAUCUAUGUAAUAUUUACAUGAAUACCUUAAGUUUCAGCCAAUUUGUAAUCUUGCAAAGUUCGAAAUGAAAUGAAGUUUCAAA